rnacentral:rRNA from 1 species
GACGAACGCUGGCGGCGUGCUUAACACAUGCAAGUCGAACGAUGAAGCUAGAGCUUGCUCUGGUGAAUUAGUGGUGAACGGGUGAGUAACACGUGAGUAACCUGCCCCGAACUCUGGGAUAACUGCUGGAAACGGUAGCUAAUACUGGAUACGACCUACGAAGGCAUCUUCUGUAGGUGGAAAGAAUUUCGGUUCGGGAUGGACUCGCGGCCUAUCAGCUUGUUGGUGAGGUAAUGGCUCACCAAGGCGACGACGGGUAGCCGGCCUGAGAGGGUGACCGGCCACACUGGGACUGAGACAUUGCCCAGACUCCUACGGGAGGCAGCAGUGGGGAAUAUUGCACAAUGGGCGCAAGCCUGAUGCAGCAACGCCGCGUGAGGGAUGACGGCCUUCGGGUUGUAAACCUCUUUUAGUAGGGAAGAAGCGAAAGUGACGGUACCUGCAGAAAAAGCACCGGCUAACUACGUGCCAGCCGCCGCCGUAA